UCUGCUUGGCUACUGUCUUUUCCAUCUUGUUUAGUGACUGUUGCUAUUUCUGAAUCUUCCAAAUUAAAGUAUCUUCCCAUUCCAGAAUUCUCAGACUUCAUGUCAAUAUUUUCUUUCCUUGAGGUCUUUUUGGAUUUAAGAAGAUGGUUCGCAUCUCCUGAUUUGGAGACAAAGGAAAAAAGAUAAACAGGUGCCAAUGUGGAUGCUGGAAGGCUAACAGGAGAGACAAUGGACUGUCUACAAGUUGGCAAAAUGAUGACCAGAGCCAGCAAGGACCAGAGCACCACCCAACAUUAACAUUUUCAGCAUGCUAUCACAUCACUCAAGCAGUUGCCAGAGUCCCUAACUUCUGUGAUCAGGACUGGUUAAAAUUAAGAUAUAGGCCUGGAAUAGAGAUGUAAGCUACCCUUUCUGCACUACUGGUUUAAGUUAAGUCUACGCAAGAGACAGAAUUGCAGACAUAUGGACACACACACACGCACACACACAUACAUUCAUCCAUUUUGUUUUUAUAUCAUCUCUAUUUCUUAAUAUAACCCAAAUGGACAUGUCCAGACCAGCCCUAGUGACACACUAAUAAAUCUAGUUUAAAUUUUCUCUAA